AAGUCGUAACAAGGUCUCCGUAGGUGAACCUGCGGAGGGAUCAUUACAGAGACUCUGCCCUUUGGGUAGACCUCCCACCCUGUGUCGUUAUACCUCUGUUGCUUUGGCGGGCCGCGGGGCUCCGGCCCCGCCCCUGGCUCCGGCUAGGGCGCGCCCGCCAGAGGACUACCAAACCUGAAUGUUAGUGUCGUCUGAGUACUAUGUAAUAGUUAAAACUUUCAACAACGGAUCUCUUGGUUCUG
rnacentral:misc_RNA from 1 species